rnacentral:rRNA from 1 species
UAGGGAAUCUUCGGCAAUGGACGAAAGUCUGACCGAGCAACGCCGCGUGAGUGAAGAAGGUUUUCGGAUCGUAAAACUCUGUUGUUAGAGAAGAACAAGGACGUUAGUAACUGAACGUCCCCUGACGGUAUCUAACCAGAAAGCCACGGCUAACUACGUGCCAGCAGCCGCGGUAAUACGUAGGUGGCAAGCGUUGUCCGGAGUUAUUGGGCGUAAAGCGAGCGCAGGCGGAUUCUUAAGUCGGUUGUGAAAGCCCCCGGCUCAACCGGGGAGGGUCAUUGGAAACUUGGUGACUUGAGUGCAGAAGCGGGGGGUGGAAUUCCAUGUGUAGCCGUGAAAUGCGUAGAUAUAUGGAGGAACACCAGUGGCGAAGGCGGCUCUCUGGUCUGUAACUGACGCUGAGGCUCGAAAGCGUGGGGAGCAAACAGG